UGGAUUAACCAAGGGUCAAUAGGUUAAAUCAUGGUUGUAAACAAAGAGUUACCUGCUCCUUCGUUUUGAUAUUUUUAUGGAUUUUUAGCCAAACCUUAGUUUGAAUCAAUUAAUCUUCUUGUAUAAUGACAGACAUGGCUGUCGGUUCCACCGCCCACCUAAAUAGAGAGAAAAAGCGAAGAUCGGGUAGUAAAGGAGAGCGUUUGAUUCUAAAACAGCAAGCGAUGGCUGCAAUCAAGGGAGGUAAAUGUGAACAGCUACAGAUGUAUAUUAAAAAUGGAUUUGAUGUCAAUGAGCGAGUUCUGUUGAUAUUAACGGAAUCAAAAAUCCACUAUGCACUGCCUCUUUGUUGGGCAUUGGAAUGUACUGGACCCAACAGCACACAGAUUGUUUCUAUUUUGCUAGAAAAUGGUGUUGAUUUAAGAAAAAGAGUAGAACCUGUGCGUUGUUAUGAGGAGGAAGGUGGGAUUAUUUCCUAUAAAAGCAAUGACACAUAUUUACAUGUAGCUGUGAAAAACAAUAAAUUGGAGUGUAUUCAGCUUCUACUGGAUUACGGUGCAGACAUAAAUGCUUCUAAUGUAUCAGGAGAGUCGCCAUUUCAUUGCGCUUUACUUUAUGGUUACUGGGAAUCCGCGGAAAUUCUCAUCGACCACAAUGGACAAAGUCAAUAUCCAUGUACUUCAAUCUUGGAUUCGGUUUUUGUUGACCUUCUCGAAAAUCAGAAACAUAAGUUGAUUUUGAAACUUUUAGCGUCAGGCUAUGAUAUUAGGCAUGACCCUUUAAUCCUAAAAGUAAUACCGCCCUGCCAUCUCUUCAAGGAAAUUGAUGAUACAAAGUUUUUCGAUUUGAUAUCGUCUAGAAUUAAAUCACCUGAUAGUUUACUGCAGAUUUGCCGAAAAACUUUAAGACAAAUUACUGGUAACAGAUGUUCUCCCAAACUAUUUGAACAUUUGGAAAUAUCCAGGUUUUUACAGGAUUUUUUGUCUUUAAAAAUUUUAUGGAGAAACAACAAAAAUAUCUUGUAAAUGUAUAUUAUAGCCAAUAUCCAACGUUUGCAGACUUCAAUAUCACACCUUGAUGAAAUUAUUGUGUAUUUAGAAACGGCAUAAAACUAAUAUGAUUAAUGCUUAUAUAAUGUGGGAUUCGAUGAUCUUUUUGAUCAGCCAUAUUAUAUAUAACAAAGAAAUUAAAAGGGGGAUGCCCAAGUUCAGAUUUUGUCGUUGAUACCGUGUGGUUGAAAGGUUUUUAAUCUUAUAAUCCAAUGUAGUUCGAUUGUGGGCCUAUUGGUAGUCGAAUUAUUUAGCUCAAUAAUUGGAUUAUAAGAUUAAAAACCUUUCAACCACACGAUAUCAACGACAAAAUCUGAACUUGGCCAUCCCCCUUUUAAUUUCUUCGUUUUACAACCCUCCUCACUGGGUGUCCCAACUUUGGAUCUUUUUUAGCCUCCCAACCCCAACUUAGGUGCCACCGUGCUACCUCUUUUUUUUACACUAUUCCACGUUCAGCCACAUACACGUUACGUCGUAAUACUAUACCCGAAUUCAUAGCACAGGAAUCUGACCUUCUAAUCGUAUAUAUAUGCAUACACCAUACCGAACUAGACAAUAUAUAAUUUAAAAAAAGAAUAUUGUCUAGUUCGGUAUGGUGUAUGCAUAUAUAUACGGAUAGAAGGCCAGAUUCCUGAGGUCAUAGCAAAUUCUCUACAAACAUGGACGCCUGUCAGCAUUGUUGGAAAGUUCUCUCUAAGAAAUGCCACUUACUUAGACACAUUAAGGAGAAACAUACACCUCCUAGUUUUACCUGCACCCUCUGCGGUAAACUCUAUAGAAGGAAUGAAUAUUUGAAAAAACACAAUUGCAGGGGUGCUUUAGCACCUAGAUCGUUCAACGAUAACCGAGACCAUCUGCAAGAGGCCGUCUCUAUUACCAUAGGAGAUCUACCUACCACCAACCCGGCCAUUAGUUUUUCUUCGGAAACCUUGCGCAUGUUAUCUGCCUCGCCAGUGGCUACCACCAGCUACCAGAGCCCACGCCACCUCACACCGUCAGGGGCACCUUUCCCAUGUUUCCAAAACUGGGACAACAACGUCUCCCCUAGCCAGUUAGUAGCGGAAACAUGGGUACAGUAUGCUCAAGCCGUGCUUUAGCACCUAGAUCGUUCAACGAUAACCGAGACCAUCUGCAAGAGGCCGUCUCUAUUACCAUAGGAGAUCUACCUACCACCAACCCGGCCAUUAGUUUUUCUUCGGAAACCUUGCGCAUGUUAUCUGCCUCGCCAGUGGCUACCACCAGCUACCAGAGCCCACGCCACCUCACACCGUCAGGGGCACCUUUCCCAUGUUUCCAAAACUGGGACAACAACGUCUCCCCUAGCCAGUUAGUAGCGGAAACAUGGGGACAGGAACCCGUCCACUGACCAACUAUUCCGAAUUAACAUCCAAAAAAAUCUGCAAGAAGAGCUCGAGCGAGACCCUUCGCUUGCUUACCAAUUAACCGAACAAGACCUUGCACAUUCUUCAUUUAUAUUUGGCUUAAUAAACAACUAACUCUUCACCCUCUA